ACGAUUUGACGACGCAGACCCGGAUCCCGAGGAAAAAUCCUGUGGAGAGGCGGCGGCGGCGGUGUCAGCAGCAUCAGCAGCGGCAUGCGCUGUAUGGGGAUCGUCGUAGGAGUCGGCGCAAGAAUCGUCAGCGUGGGAGUUGGCGCCGGUCGGUACGGCCGACAACGACCGCGUCUGGGGGGCCGAGGCUGGCGCAGCGUCACGUGCGGGGGACCCGCCUGUCCCCGCACCCAGCCCCGCGCCCGAGGAACCGUCAACCGUGCGCCCGCCUGGCGACGUGUUGGGCGCGCCACGUAGUGAGGCAGGCCCUGGCGCGCCGGAUCCCGAAGGAAAAACGCCGACUGCUGGCCCGCCUGGCGCCGCAGAUCCUGGAGAAAGCGCG
rnacentral:lncRNA from 1 species